rnacentral:rRNA from 1 species
AUGACUCCAACUCAGAGACCUACAGAUACAAACAUUGAUCGGGUGACGGAUCUCAUAGGCACACGGACUUGGACUUGGAAGCUUGAAUUGAUCAGGGACAAUUUUACUGCUCAGGAUGUCGCGGCCAUACUUAAUAUUCCUAUCAGGCAAGGCGGGGGUGAUGAUUUUCUUGCAUGGGCAUUUGAUAAAUCAGGUAACUACACUGUAAAGACGGCGUACCGUGCUCUCGUGACUCAGAAUGAGCGUUUGGCUCUAGAGGAAGGGACGGCUACCGAAACCUCAUCGGACGAUCGACAGUUGUGGAAAUCCUUGUGGAAGUUGAAUGUUAUCCCAAAAGUGCGAGUGUUC